GCCGUAAGAAGGAAAAUCAGGGAAUUCGAUGCACCUGUGCCUAGUUAGGGACAGCGGUUGGUGAUUGGAGGAUACGCUGGACAAGGCAGUACUUAAGGCCAAGUUAUUUCACAGUCUGGGCGCUCUUUCUGGCUGGAAUUGUAUGAUUGUGAAGACAUCGCGAACCUUAAAGGUUGAGAAGUGAACGGAUUAUACGGCGAACUGAGACGACGUGAAAAAGGGGAUUGGAAGCGGCAUUGAUUGAGAAGAUAAAGAAGACAUGAGUAACUCCACAGUGAACCUCACCAUAGAUGAUACGUCCACCAUCCCCGCAACAUUUGUAUUUAAUGAAUUUGACAUCAUAAACUUUAAUAUUUUGGGCUUCGGUUUCUUGUUUGGUCUUCUUACAAACACCUAUGUGAUCUGGCUCAUCCUCACAGGAGCAGGAAGUGGAGUUGCAUCAGAAUUCUUCAUCCUCAAUCUCUCUGUUUGUGGGCUGUUUUUCUCUGUGUACUCUUUGCUAAAGUUUUUUACACUAAUAUUUUUGAAAUUUCCAAGUCUACGAUCAUCAGCUAACUUUUUUUUAGGAGUUGCCAUCACAGGUUAUCCUCUGUUUCAGUGUCUGAUCUGUGUUGAGCGUUACCUGGCAGUGGUUCAUCCUGUAACCUUUCUGAAGUACAAACCUCUCAGAUACAGAGUGAUCUUUUGCUCUGUGGCCUGGAUAAUCAUACUUGGUUCUUGUUUAAUCUGCAUGCACAGUUUGCUUGUAUUUACUCUAUAUAUGUAUAUGUGGUUUCUCUCAAUGCAAUUUCUGCUCUUCC
ensembl:lncRNA